rnacentral:rRNA from 1 species
AGUGAACGCUGGCGGUAGGCCUAACACAUGCAAGUCGAACGGCAGCACAGUAAGAGCUUGCUCUUACGGGUGGCGAGUGGCGGACGGGUGAGGAAUACAUCGGAAUCUACUUUUUCGUGGGGGAUAACGUAGGGAAACUUACGCUAAUACCGCAUACGACCUACGGGUGAAAGCAGGGGAUCUUCGGACCUUGCGCGAUUGAAUGAGCCGAUGUCGGAUUAGCUAGUUGGCGGGGUAAAGGCCCACCAAGGCGACGAUCCGUAGCUGGUCUGAGAGGAUGAUCAGCCGCACUGGAACUGAGACACGGUCCAGACUCCUACGGGAGGCAGCAGUGGGGAAUAUUGGACAAUGGGCGCAAGCCUGAUCCAGCCAUACCGCGUGGGUGAAGAAGACCUUCGGGUUGUAAAGCCCUUUUGUUGGGAAAGAAAAGCAGCAGGUUAAUACCCCGCUGUUCUGACGGUACCCAAAGAAUAAGCACCGGCUAACUUCGUG